rnacentral:rRNA from 1 species
AGGACGAACGCUAGCGGCAGGCUUAACACAUGCAAGUCGAGGGGCAGCGUGAGGGUUAGCAAUAACCCUUGACGGCGACCGGCGCAAGGGUGCGUAACGCGUGAGCAACUUGCCCGUUUCUGGGGAAUAACCGGUGGAAACGCCGACUAAUACCCCAUAGUAUAGACGAAAGGCAUCUUUUGUUUAUUAAAGAAUUUCGGAAACGGAUAGGCUCGCGUGACAUUAGCUAGAUGGCGGGGUAACGGCCCACCAUGGCGACGAUGUCUAGGGGUUCUGAGAGGAAGGUCCCCCACACUGGAACUGAGACACGGUCCAGACUCCUACGGGAGGCAGCAGUGAGGAAUAUUGGUCAAUGGACGCAAGUCUGAACCAGCCAUGCCGCGUGCAGGAUGACGGCUCUAUGAGUUGUAAACUGCUUUUGUAUGAGGGUAAUAUCAGGUACGUGUACCUGCUUGAAAGUAUCAUACGAAUAAGGAUCGGCUAACUCCGUG